rnacentral:misc_RNA from 1 species
AAAUAUUAAACGUAUAACAUAUUGCGUAUGAACAACGUUAAUUAUU